AUCGCAGCUGACUGCAGCCUCAACCUUCCAGGCUGAAGCGAUCCUCCCACCUCAACCUCCCACGUGGCUGAGACUACAGGUGCUUGCCACUAUGCCCAACUAACAUUUGGAAUUUUCGUAUACGUGGAUUCCAGAGGGGUGACAGCGAAACCUGCAGGACAAGUUCGAGCAUCUUAAAAUGAUUCAACAGGAGGAGAUAAGGAAGCUCGAGGAAGAGAAAAAACAACUGGAAGGAGAAAUCAUAGAUUUUUAUAAAAUGAAAGCUGCCUCUGAAGCACUGCAGACUCAGCUGAGCACCGAUACAAAGAAAGACAAACAUCCUGAUCCAUAUGAAUUCCUCUUAUUAAGAAAAAUAAAGCAUCCAGGAUUCAAUGAAGAACUGACUAUCACCUUGUUAAUCAUUCAGAAACAUGUUGCAGGCUUAAGCCAUUUUUGAUAUAGAUACUGAAACAAUUACUUGCUAAGAGCAAACUUGAAGGUAUGGAUAAGGCCCUGAGUCAUCUUCCUGAGCUGAAUGAUAGUUAAGCUGAAUGUACGUAUAAAAUAUGAUUUUCUAACCACUUGCUCGCCAACAAGGAAAACUUUUAAGUAGAGCAGAACCUGAAUAGACAAGACAUUUCUUUCUUUUGGUAGAAAAUGAUUUACCAUCACUGUGUAGUUAAUUGUAGACUAGGUAAUUUUAACUUUGUGAUUUAUUGCCGGAGACAUUUUCUUCUGUACUGUAAAGUGUGUGUCAAAAAAAAAAAAUAGCGAUUUUGGAGGAUUAGGGGACUUUGAUAAAUUGCCUGCAAUUCUGGCAGUAUGAACUGCAUAUUAAUUUCUCUCUUUCAAGAACAUUUUUAUUUAUUAAUUCCUUACAAAAACUCCCUAAACUUUGGAACAGCUCUCAAUUGCCUGUAUUC
rnacentral:lncRNA from 1 species